AGCAGCCAUUCAUUUAAAGAGUGCGUAACAGCUCACUAGUCGAGCGGUCCGGCAUGGAUAAUAAUCGGGCAUAAACAUACUACCGAAGCUAUGGACAGAUUUAUUCUGUGGUAGGGGAGCAUUCUGUUUGCGCCGAAGGUUUACUGCGAGGUAUGCUGGAGCGGACGGAAAAGAAAAUGUAGGCAUAAGUAACGAUAAUGCGGGCGAGAAACCCGCACUCCGAAAGACCAAGGUUUCCCCAGCUAUGCUAAUCAGCUGGGGGUUAGUCGGGUCCUAACGCG
rnacentral:rRNA from 1 species